CUCUUCUCUCGCAGCUCAGUCGAUCCCCACCAGCAUCCUUAUCCAUCCGCAUGCACCACCUCUUCCGAUUAGCCGGCUGAUGAAGAUUUCGUUGGUGGUUGCGCGGAGUGCGCGGACGCGUUGGUCUUGUUCUCAAGGAUGUGGAUCCUUGAAGACCUCGCCAAGUCCGGUGGAUUGGCCAUGGGUAGUUGCAGGGAAAACACAGGGGCUGCACUACUCAAGCUCUUCAUGGUCGGCGGCUAGAGAGCCAUGGCAGAGUUGCUGUAGUUUGGCCCCAUGGAGGAGGCUGUGUGCGAACCAAUUGGUGGGAACUCGCCAAGUUGCCUACUGAUGAUGAAUUGUUGGAUCUGACGUCCGAGAAUGGUGCCACCGGGCAAAGCUAGCGUUACGUACAAUACCCGGUUGUUCUAUGAAGUUACUGAAGCAAGAUUCACUGCCAUCACAUGGCUCCUCUUUCAUAGGCACCAGUUUGCAGGAAGGUGAAACUUUAUCAUUCUGUGACUGCAUACAUAUACAUUUUCAAAUAAGACACAUCUCUAAAAUUUCAAGUGUGUAUCAUCAAAAAAUCAAUCACCUUUUUAUCUGGCACGUUCUGCUUCUUCAUUAACAUAGUGUCCACAUCAUCAUCCAUCAAUUACUUUGCAACAAAUGUAAUAUGAAUUGGUUAAGGAAUUCUAAAGAUGGUACUUUGUUUUUGAAACAAAGUUAAUGAACCUUUACCUCCUCGGCUCUGUCGUUCAAGUAGAGCAUCUCAAGCCUAUCAUCAGGCACAAAUGUUCUUUUUUGAGAAUAGUUUUGUGUGCCAAAUGUGAGAUCACUAUCACUGAGAUUGAAUCAAAAUAUUAAUUUCUUUCCACAUAAUUGUUGAAUAAUCUUUGGCGCUUCUUCUGUUUUCCCAUCCAGUGAGUCCAGCAAGUCAGAUGCAGAUGUAUUAAGCAAUCUUGCAGCCUCCUCGUCAAAUAAAGUGCAACUUGUAGUAGAUGUAUGGUCACUAAUUUGUAGCCGAAUACGAUACCUAACAUACCAUUCAUGUUAGUGGGGAGUAAAUAUAAUAUAACACUUAUUGUUCAUAUUUUAGUAAUAUAAUAUGCUUACCGAGGUGUGACCUUUUCUGGAUAUAUACCACAACUCUUGCAAUAAUACUUGUCGAUUUCCGAUAACCAUUUUGGGACAGUUAUCACAUGACAUGACAUGUACCACCAUUGAAUAUUUUCUUGCAACCGAUCUACUGUAGCUAUUGACCUGAACACAAAUCCUGAAAACAAUCAACAUUAGCAUUGGGGUAGGGGUCGAGAAUUAAGUCACAUAUAUAAAUUGAAUAUGGUUCCAUUGUUACUAAUAUUAAAUUAAUUGUCAAUGUAGGUCUUAACUUGUUAUCACAAAUAUUGAUGAUAUCAUUUAUUGGAAAUCCGAUGAAUUACCUAGUCUUGCUUGUUUCCAUGCCUCAUUUGAGUAAGUUCCUACAAUGUUCUCCGCCUGUAAAACAUUUGUUCUUCUAGUGUUCCUUGAUUACUUCUAUCUAUACUCAUCAUUUUUGGUAAGGUUACUUGUGUUGAGUCCCUGCACAUAUAUAAAAUAAAUAAUAAUAUAUACAAUCUUGAAUCAACAUGCGUCACUAUUCAUGAGUGGGAAUUUUUUAAUUGCUAGUGUUUCAUACCUUUCAAGAAGUUCUUGUGUUUCUGGUAUAUCCAGAUCUAUAUAUAUUCUUAUGGCACUCGUUGACUUCAGGCACAAACCUAUUUAAUCAACCAAUUAGAAUUUGUAAAUGAUAAGGAUAGCAUCUAAGAUUUAUGGACUUACCAUUGAAUCUCUGCACAGUCGUUGAUGUAAUACUAAUGACAGUUUGGUUGCCGAUAACAUUCUCGGUCAAAAAAUAAGCAAACUUUCCCCACAACGUUUAUCACCCCUAAAGAAUUUAAUCCGAGAAGUUAGUGCUAACCACAUGGGGGAGGCUUAGUUAAAUUUCAGACAUGCAUAUGCAUAUGCACUUACUCUGGCAUUAGUAUUUCAAUCUCGCGGAUAUAUGAAGGUUGUGGGCUCUUUUUUGUUAUUCUUGUCUCCACGGGCUUCAUUUUUUUAGAAGUCCAAUAACAUCUAUAUAUUUGGAUAUUAGUAAUAUUAAAAUUAGAAAUAUCAAUUAUUUGGAGGCCAUAAUUACAACUAUAAACAUACCCGAGCAUUGUGUAUCUUUUUCUGCCCUUUCUUCGAUUGUCUCCAUGGUAGCAAACUCGAAGCAAUAGUCUGGAAAAACUUCUGAAGAUGCUUUUAUCUCCUUUACCUUUAUAUUGUAUGCAAAAAAUAUUUUAAUUUCAUUGCUGACUGGCCUAUAUUUUGUGGAUUUCGCAACCUUAAAAUUGCUGAAUGCAUAAAUAGACCUCUCAUUGAUCUUUGAUCUAAAAGUGUCUAUUAGAUUCUUCCAGAUAGUAGCAUGAAUUGUUUCACCCUGUAAAAGCAAUGGAUUAUGGUUAGUAACUGUUGCUUAAUCUGAAAGAAAAGUCCAAUUGACUAUAUUGGGAAAAACACCUUCUCAUCCAUGAGUAUCAUAUCUAGGCUAAUAAGCUCAUCGGUCGUAGGAUUAACCGAAUCCCAAAUCCUCAUUACUUUCACUUGAAUGUUCCAAUUCUGCCCCCUUGUAUUUAAGUCGCUCAACUUUUCAUAUGCCAUAGUUUUACGUCUUCAAAAUUAAUAGGAAACAAUUUGUCAAUGUAUAUAGCAUUUAUGAAGAUUCUAUCUAGAAAAAAAGUUAGUUAAAUAACAAUCACCAAGUCUGAUGAUUCAGGCCAGAAGUGUUUUGUUGUCACUUCUUCCGACAUCGAUUGGAGCAGCUGGGUGUGGCUUUGUCGGUUGUCGGCGGGCUUUGGCGUGACUUCGUCGGACGUCAAGUGAAGCGGUUGGAGGUGACUUUUCGUCGUGCUACCUAUGUCGACUUCAAGUUGUGUGGACGGCGAGUCGUGUGUUCCGUGUGGCGUGUUUCAAGACAUGGUGGUUGUCGAUUUCCAAUUGUUUGGUAUGUGCUUGUUUGGCCGGCUGCACUUGUUUAUAUGGGUGGAGGUGGCUGGGUUGAUGUGGCCGAGACCGUGUCGAAAUCUUGUACGUAUUUGUUCCUGUCUUGGAACUUUCAUCAUGUCAGGUCAGGUCGAUGUCCUAAUUUGUUUAGGUUUCUUAUAUAAUUAGGUUUGACUACUAUCUUUGCUAGUUGGCGUGACGUGUUGUUCUGUGCUAUGCACUACACGUGAUGGAACAUGGAUGUGUUGGUCCGUUGUAUGCACGUACACGUGACAAAACAACUUACGCUCGUUUAUGCGUUUAUUUUAA